rnacentral:lncRNA from 1 species
GUCGUGGUCUCGGAACCACACUGCUCGGCCCGCGGAGCCCGUCGCAGCGAGUCUGCCCAGCUCCAGAAAGGGGUGUCCCUGCUCCCGCCCGAGGCGUCGGGCGUCCGGCUGGCGAGCGGUCCCUGGUCGGCCGCGGCUUCGGAGAGCGCUCCCCGCGACGGCAGUCAGCCAAACGCGUCCCUCCUGCCGCGCGCGAGCGGCGCUCGUCGUGAGCGUGCCCUGGGGAAAGGCCGAGGGCCGCGGCCGCGAAGCCGGGAGGGUGCUGCCGAGGGCGUGCUGCCGAGGGCUCGCCCAGGCAUUUGCGUUUGCAGAGGUGGAAGUUAGACGGUAAUCUACGAAGUGGUGAUUCGGAAGGCAGACUCCAGCUAGAAUUAAAAGUAGCCAAGCCUCCUGUUUAAAUGCACUUCUAUACUUGUUAGGAACUAAGCCGGAAAGGUAGGUAACCGAAAUCGAAUCGGUGUCACUCUGAUUUUCUCUCAAACGUAGGACUGAAUCCAGGGGCGCUGUACCACCGAGCUACACUCCCCCCCCCUUUUUAUAUAUUGAUACAGGGCUUCGCUACUUUGCCCCGCUGGCCUCGAAUUUCGAGAUCCUCCCUGCCUCAGCCUCCCAAGUCGCUGGCACUUGAGGCCUGUUGCACCACGCCCUACUGCUGCUUUUUUUUUUUUAACUGGGUUCUAAACAGUUGGUAAGCAGGGUGUUUACAGGGUUCAUAUGGAAUUAUAAAACCAAACUGGAUCGACCUUAAAGAUGAUCUUUUAUGCAAGCCGAACUACUCCUGUUCCAAUCCUAGCCCUGCGGUUGACAAACCCUGGGCAGUUUAUCUUUCAGACCGUCACUUUCUCAUGGGUAAAAUGGGAACAGAAAGAGGCUGAGGUUGUGGCUCAGUGGGCAGAGCGCUUGCCUAGCAUGUGUGAGGCACUGGGUUCAAUCCUCAGCACCGCAUGUAAAUGAAUACAAUAAAGGUCCAUUGACAACUAAAAAAUAUUUUUUAAAAAUGGGAACAGCAAGUAGCACCUGUUGGCCAGUGUCAUGAAGAUUAGGCCUUGAGGAUGCUAACCCCCAGGAAAGUGCCUGGGAGGCUUCCCUAUGAAAGCACCCAGUCGGGGAGUAAAGGGCUUCAGACUCUUCGGAGGCAGCCAGGUCUUUAUUUCAGUUACAGCCAGGAACUUCAUGGGGUCAGAAGUGGACACCUGAUAAAAACAGCCAGCCCUCAGGCUGAGGAGCAUUCAUGAAGAGAUGAUCCAAGAGUUCCCAUAUUGGCCUCAUUGUAAGGCUUGCCUGGUAAAAAUUGUGGAAUUCAGGGUCCUGGGCCCCAGCUUCACUUACGGGAUCAGCCUAGAUGAAAGAGAACUAGAAGCUGCAAUUUUUAUUUUGUUCCCUGACAACACAUUCAUUCUUUGGAUAAACUUGAAAAAAAAAAAAAAAAAAAACACUGAUGUAAUCCAAUCAAUAUUCUUUCUAGGGUAUUUAAAUAUGAAAUGUGAAUAAACUGGGAAUUCGCCUCAGAAACUGAAUCUGAAAAUAUGCAAACUGAAAUUUUCCACAGAAAGAAGUAAAAACUGUGAAGAAAUAAAAUGCAAACUAAAAGGAAAGAAUUAAGCUGUUUAAUGCAUUAAUUAAAACAAUGAUGUGGACCAUAUCGAGCUUCUUCAAAGAGAAACAGAAUAGGCAUAAUCUCUACCAGCAUGUGAUUGAUUGGCAUGGGAAGUGCAUGUUUGGCAAAUAAAAUGAGUACAGCUGUGGUCUAAAUGUUUUGUAACUCCAAAAUCCAUAUGUUGAAGCAUAAUUGCAGGGUAAUGAAUUCAGGGCCUUUUGAGAGGUGAUCAGGUCAUGAGGGCAGAGCUCUCUCCAAUGACAUUAGUGCCAUUAAAAAUGAGUCCUGAGCCAGGCACAUGGCCCAAGCCUAUAAUCCCAAGAGGUUGAGACAGGAGGAUCAUGAGUUCAAAGCCAGCCUCAACAUUUUAGCAAAGCACUAAGUGACUCUGUGAGACCCUGUCUCUAAAAAUACAAAAGAGAGCUGGGGAUAUGGCCCAGUGGUUGAGUGCCUCUGAGUUUAAUCCCUGUUAACCACCACCCCAAAAAAAGAGUUCUGGGCCUGGGGUUUUUGGCCAGCGGUAGAGUGCUUGCCUACCAUAUGUGAGGCACUAGGUUCAAUCCUCGGCACCAUGUUAAAAAAUAAAUGAAAGGGCUGGGGUUAUGGCUCAGCCGUAGAGGGCUCACCUCUGCGAGGCCCUGGGUUGCAAGACCCUGGGCUCGAUCCUCAGCAGCACAUAAAAAUAAAUAAAGGUAUUGUGUCCAACU